rnacentral:misc_RNA from 1 species
UUUCUGGGUAUUCAUUCAUUCCCAAGGCUAUUUGGCUCCGAAAAUGUCUAUUGGUGCUCGUGAACUUACCAUUCUGGGUGACUUCCAGCCCUUUGGCUUGAUUGCGGAAGCUCUUGAUGGCAAACCCUCCGAUGCUUGUGUGGAUGAUUAUCGUUACUUCCUCUUCAGUCCAGAAGUGACCAAACAAAGAGAUGAAGCGGAUGAACUCGAUUUGCCAUCUCCAAGUGACCGGAGCGAUCACGAGCUAUUUAUAAGAGGGAACAAGAUUAUAUGGAGCAUAGGUUCACGAGUCUAUAAGAGGUUCACAUCACCCUCCACAGUGAUAAAG